GAGUUUGAUCCUGGCUCAGGAUGAACGCUAGCGGCAGGCUUAACACAUGCAAGUCGAGGGGUAACGGGGAAGCUUGCUUCCGCCGACGACCGGCGCACGGGUGCGUAACGCGUAUACAAUCUACCUUGUACUGGGGUAUAGCCUUUAGAAAUGAAGAUUAAUCCCCCAUAGUCUCUUAGAGUGGCAUCACUUCUAGAGUAAAGGUUACGGUAUAAGAUGAGUAUGCGUUCUAUUAGUUUGUUGGUGUGGUAACGGCACACCAAGACUACGAUAGAUAGGGGCCCUGAGAGGGGGAUCCCCCACACUGGUACUGAGACACGGACCAGACUCCUACGGGAGGCAGCAGUGAGGAAUAUUGGACAAAGGAGGCAACUCUGAUCCAGCCAUGCCGCGUGCAGGAAGACUGCCCUAUGGGUUGUAAACUGCUUUUAUACAGGAAGAAACACCUCUACGUGUAGAGGCUUGACGGUACUGUAAGAAUAAGGAUCGGCUAACUCCGUGCCAGCAGCCGCGGUAAUACGGAGGAUCCAAGCGUUAUCCGGAAUCAUUGGGUUUAAAGGGUCCGUAGGUGGAUAAUUAAGUCAGAGGUGAAAUCUUGCAGCUCAACUGUAAAAUUGCCUUUGAAACUGGUUAUCUUGAGUUAUUAUGAAGUAGUUAGAAUAUGUAGUGUAGCGGUGAAAUGCAUAGAUAUUACAUAGAAUACCAAUUGCGAAGGCAGAUUACUAAUAAUCAACUGACACUGAUGGACGAAAGCGUGGGUAGCGAACAGGAUUAGAUACCCUGGUAGUCCACGCCGUAAACGAUGGUUACUAGCUGUUUGGACUUCGGUCUGAGUGGCUAAGCGAAAGUGAUAAGUAACCCACCUGGGGAGUACGUUCGCAAGAAUGAAACUCAAAGGAAUUGACGGGGGCCCGCACAAGCGGUGGAGCAUGUGGUUUAAUUNGAUGAUACGCGAGGAACCUUACCAGGGCUUAAAUGUAAGUUGCAUUAGUUAGAGAUAGCUAUUUCUUCGGACCACUUACAAGGUGCUGCAUGGUUGUCGUCAGCUCGUGCCGUGAGGUGUCAGGUUAAGUCCUAUAACGAGCGCAACCCCUGUUGUUAGUUGCCAGCGAGUCAUGUCGGGAACUCUAACAAGACUGCCAGUGCAAACUGUGAGGAAGGUGGGGAUGACGUCAAAUCAUCACGGCCCUUACGUCCUGGGCUACACACGUGCUACAAUGGUAGGUACAGAGAGCAGCCACUGCGCGAGCAGGAGCGAAUCUAUAAAACCUAUCACAGUUCGGAUCGGAGUCUGCAACUCGACUCCGUGAAGCUGGAAUCGCUAGUAAUCGGAUAUCAGCCAUGAUCCGGUGAAUACGUUCCCGGGCCUUGCACACACCGCCCGUC
rnacentral:rRNA from 1 species